rnacentral:rRNA from 1 species
AUUGAACGCUGGCGGCAUGCCUUACACAUGCAAGUCGAACGGCAGCACGGGGCAACCUGGUGGCGAGUGGCGAACGGGUGAGUAAUGCAUCGGAACGUACCUUUCAGUGGGGGAUAACGUAGCGAAAGUUGCGCUAAUACCGCAUAUUCUGUGAGCAGGAAAGCAGGGGAUCGCAAGACCUUGCGCUGAUUGAGCGGCCGAUGUCAGAUUAGCUAGUUGGUGAGGUAAAGGCUCACCAAGGCGACGAUCUGUAGAGGGUCUGAGAGGAUGAUCCGCCACACUGGAACUGAGACACGGUCCAGACUCCUACGGGAGGCAGCAGUGGGGAAUUUUGGACAAUGGGGGCAACCCUGAUCCAGCCAUGCCGCGUGAGUGAAGAAGGCCUUCGGGUUGUAAAGCUCUUUCGGCCGGGAAGAAAUCGCACGGGCUAAUACCCUGUGUGGAUGACGGUACCGGAAUAAGAAGCACCGGCUAACUACGUGCCAGCCGCCGCUGUAACAC